UAUUCACACACGCACAUGCACGAUUUGGGCACUCGGUCCAGAAAAGGUUAGCCAUCACUGCUAUAUAGCGACAUUAGUGCCUGGUUCUAUUAUUUCUGGUCUACAAAGGUGAUCACAAAAUCUAUUAAAAUCUCAAUUUCUUUAUUUUCUUCCAGUGUUAAUCCAGAUCUUUGCUGCCCAACUACAAUACCCUGAGUUCUGUAAGACUAAAAUGAUCUAGCCCAAAUGAGGUUGAAGAAGGAUAAAAAUGGUUGCAUAUGAGUUCUGUCAUAGUUGCUGAUGGAGGAAUUGGUCUCUCUCUUGGCUUGAACAGUUCCAGAGGGUGUGUUUUUUUCCUGCUUUUUGUCUUCUGGACAUUCUGAUAAAUAUCAACAAUUAUCAGGUGGGUUCAUUAUGUCAUUAAGUAGACCAGGUUAGGAAAUCAACUUGACAAAAGUAUAACCAUCCUUAUUUAGAUGGACUAUAAAAACAGAAUCCUGCGAGUCGGAUUGUGGUGUAUCUCCUUCCCCUUCUUAUACUCCAGUGACUCAGAGAGGUCUUCCAAACAUUAUCUUGUUUCCAGGAUUUAAAAAUGUUACAGUGCCUUUGCCUAGAUUCUUGUUUCUUUUCAUGGACCAUAUUCUUUAUUCUCUACAUAUGUAAUGGAACAUGUGGAUGAUCUUGGAGGACAAGAAGAAGAAAAGAUGCUGCCUAGAAAACAAUCAGACAAGAGAGCCAGGAGCUUCCCCAAUGGAUUAACACUUAGGUGAAGAUUUUGGAAAGAUCCUAAUUCUACAGGUCCUCUGAAAGAAAAGGUACAAGUGGUGGCUUUCAAUCCUUUAUGCUGAUUAUUUCUCCUAUAAAAUGUCAAAGAGAAGGGGAAGAAGUGACAGAUUUUAUUUACUUGGGUUCCAAGAAAAGUGCAGAGGGCGACUGGAGCCAUGAAAUUAAAAGACGCUUGCUCCUUGAGAGGAAAGCAGCACAAGAUAUUUUUGUACACACAAAUUGUUGGAUGGAAUCCCAUACAUGCAGGAAAGGUUUUGCAAGACCUAAAAACAGAAGCACUUUUUUUUUUUUUUAAAGGAGGCUAUAUUGGUUUGUUGUUCACUUGAGUCAGAAACUCUUUGGAACCUAAGCAGAAAAUCUACCUGAUGGGGGAUUCCCGUGCAUUCCUCAAGCAUUCCUAUUUCUUUUCAGCUUCUCAUAUGUUUUUUUUUCUGAAACGAGAAUUAUCAGAUAUUCACAUUUGCCAAGCUCAGAUUAAUGAAAUGAAAGUUCAUCUAGAAUCCCAGGGGACAUUUCCCAGCAGAGGGGGAACUUCCAAUGUUUAAAGAAGGAUUUUUUUUAAAAAAAAGUUAUCUCUUUGUAAUGACUUUGUGUCAGUUGACAAGCAAGGUAGGAACUCUGCGAUCCACAACACUGGCUGACUUUUAGAACUCAGCCCGUUUCUUUCCAGCUCGGCUGUAGUGGGACACCAUUUUUUUUUUCAAAUAAAAUACCAUAUUUUGGGGGCAAAAUUGCAGGGAUCCCCUGCCUCACCAUUCCUUCUGACUCCUGAGCUUCAAUUUUCUACCAGCUUCUUGGCUAGAUUUAGCACAGAUGUAUGUAUUCCUUUUGCUAAUCUCAACUAUUUGGCAGGGGAGAAGCAAGUGAGCAAACCACCAACCUGCUUCAGAUUUUGAUUUCUGGCUUUUCUCUCUUGCCUAAAAGGAAAGGGGAUUUGGUCACUCCAAUGGAGUAGAAAGGAUGGCCUUAUGGAAGCACCCUUGGAAUGAAUGCCAAACUGUUGUGACCCAGGCCCAAAUAGGUAGUAGGAAACUCAGUCAGUGUAAAAACAAACUUUAUUCGAACAGCUGAGAAUUACUUCAUUCUCAGCAUAGUUCAACUAAAUUAAAGCAAAUUCCUCCCAACACUAUUCCUCAGUCCUAUCACCAACUUUGAUCCAAUUAGGCAAACUCCCAAAGGCCUUUCUUGGCAAAAGUUCAGAAGACACCACUACAAAAUAAAUGCAGCAAGACAAAGCUAUCAACAUUGUUUUCCAGCAAAGAGCCUAAAUGCCGUUGCUGGUCUUUUAAGCCUUACAGGCGGGGCCAAUCAUCUCAUGGCCCUACUCCCGAGUUGCUCUUUGCUUGAGCUGCUCUUGCCUUCUGGCAGCUCUUCUCAUGCAUGCAUUAGGAACAGGCUCCUCCUGUUCCUCUGCCUCACUACUGCCAGUCUGUUGUGUCUCGCUCGCUCCCCCUGCCGCAGCAGGGCCCCUCUUAUCUCCUGCCAGACGCUGAUAGUGCUGAAGAAUGUCUGGCAUGCCUCCAGCCCCCAGCCCUGGCACCAUGCCCGGACAGGCCGAACAAACAAACCUCCCUCCGAUAGCAUGUGCGCCUGAAGCCAGCCACGAGCUGAGAUUACCAACAGCUGGAGACGAAACGAUGCAAUGGAUAGACCCACGCUUCUGGAGAAUGGAGAGGCGACAUCACCAAAAGGAAGGGAGGGACAGGCCUGGAUAAGUGCUGAGUCAUGGAGCCACACUCCAUGGCCUAUAUAAAGGAUCUGCUUUCUGGAAUUCUCUGAGUCAGGCAAAGUCUAACUUGGAUUGCUGAAGUCAGUUCCUGGUUUCCUGCCUGCCUUGAGAACUCUGAUAGGAUUUGGGCAGAGCUGCAGAGGCACGCUUGAUACGGACUUCCCCGACCUAGCCGUCAGUGGAGGAGUGGGACAGAACACAGUCUCUGGAGGCUCUGGAGUCCGCACCUCACUCCCCAAUGGCCCUGGCCCCACCCAGCUUCCAAUGCAGAGCCCUCAUCCGGGCCUUCCCCAGCUUCCAGGACUGGCCUUCGUUUUUUCCUCAGCCUCAUCACUGUCCAUCUCCGUUGCCAGCUCCGCAGGCUGCUGGCAGACCACAACACAAACCUGCACCCUAAACAGUGGGCAUUUUAUUCAGAACCAAUUGCUCGAUCUCCCUGAUCCUCAUUACCACCACUUUCUCUAACUCUAGAAUUAAAGGAAAGCACCUAGCUGCAGAGUUGAUGAGAUGAUAGCACUCUACCUUCACAGUUGUCAAGAUUUUUAAUAUGGGAAGAAUGGCAGCUAGGCAGCUAGAUACUUCCACUGCAUUAAAAAAUAUUCUGGGUUUGGGGCGUGGAGGUGCUACCCACAAGAAUAAUACACAGCACAUAAUGAAAACAUAAUGUGCAGAGAGUGGGGAUUCACAUGGAAAAGUUAUGGAGAUAACUUGUUGCUUCAGACUGGCAAGAAUUUGGAAACAGCGCUGUUUGGACAAUGCCUUCCACAGGCUCCUGAUAAUCAGAUGAAGAAAGAGUUACAUUUGGCUGAUUGUAUUCUUAGCAUUUCAAGAUGAGAUAAUUGCAUGGGAAAAUUGGGCAGGUCCACUUCCAAUUUUUUGGAAGGAUUAGGCAAUGCAGAUAUGGCUCAUUUCGCUUGCUGUUAAAGUGAAUAGAAAACUCUCCAUCAUACAGAUCACUGAUCAACCAAUGCUUGAUUUAAUCUAUUUUUAUUAUUGUUGUUGUUGUUGUUAUUCUCUCCUGUUCUCGGUACCUCAGCUUCCUGCCUUUUUUCCUUUGCUAAGUCCAAU